rnacentral:rRNA from 1 species
CCUACGGGUGGCAGCAGUAGGGAAUAUUGCUCAAUGGGGGAAACCCUGAAGCAGCAACGCCGCGUGGAGGAUGAAGGUUUUCGGAUUGUAAACUCCUUUUGUUAGAGAAGAUAAUGACGGUAUCUAACGAAUAAGCACCGGCUAACUCCGUGCCAGCAGCCGCGGUAAUACGGAGGGUGCAAGCGUUACUCGGAAACACUGGGCGUAAAGAGCGCGUAGGCGGGAUAGCAAGUCAGAUGUGAAAUCCUAGGGCUUAACCAUAGAACUGCAUUUGAAACUGUUAUUCUAGAGUAUGGGAGAGGUAGGUGGAAUGCUUGGUGUAGGGGUAAAAUCCGUAGAGAUCAAGAGGAAUACUCAUUGCGAAGGCGACCUGCUAGAACAUAACUGACGCUGAUGCGCGAAAGCGUGGGGAGCAAACAGGAUUAGAUACCCCAGUAGUC